AGAGUUUGAUCAUGGCUCAGGAUGAACGCUAGCUACAGGCUUAACACAUGCAAGUCGAAAAAGGGGAACGACAUCGAAAGCUUGCUUUUGAUGGGCGUCGACCGGCGCACGGGUGAGUAACGCGUAUCCAACCUGCCCACCACUUGGGGAUAACCUUGCGAAAGUAAGACUAAUACCCAAUGAUAUCUCUAGAAGACAUCUGAAAGAGAUUAAAGAUUUAUCGGUGAUGGAUGGGGAUGCGUCUGAUUAGCUUGUUGGCGGGGUAACGGCCCACCAAGGCAACGAUCAGUAGGGGUUCUGAGAGGAAGGUCCCCCACAUUGGAACUGAGACACGGUCCAAACUCCUACGGGAGGCAGCA
rnacentral:rRNA from 1 species